rnacentral:rRNA from 1 species
AUUGAACGCUGGCGGCAUGCCUUACACAUGCAAGUCGAACGGCAGCACGGGGCAACCUGGUGGCGAGUGGCGAACGGGUGAGUAAUGCAUCGGAACGUACCUUUCAGUGGGGGAUAACGUAGCGAAAGUUACGCUAAUACCGCAUAUUCUGUGAGCAGGAAAGCAGGGGAUCGCAAGACCUUGCGCUGAUUGAGCGGCCGAUGUCAGAUUAGCUAGUUGGUGAGGUAAAGGCUCACCAAGGCGACGAUCUGUAGCGGGUCUGAGAGGAUGAUCCGCCACACUGGAAAUGAGACGCGGUACGGACUCCUACGGGAGGCAGCAGUGGGGAAUUUUGGACAAUGGGGGCAGCCCUGAUCCAGCCAUGCCGCGUGAGUGAAGAAGGCCUUCGGGUUGUAAAGCUCUUUCGGCCGGGAAGAAAUCGCACGGGCUAAUACCCUGUGUGGAUGACGGUACCGGAAUAAGAAGCACCGGCUAACUACGUGCCAGCCGCCGCCGUAAGAC